CCUACGGGAUGCAGCAGUGGGGAAUAUUGGACAAUGGGCGAAAGCCUGAUCCAGCCAUGCCGCGUGUGUGAAGAAGGCCUUCGGGUUGUAAAGCACUUUCAGUGGGGAAGAAAGCCUUGGGGCUAAUACCCUCGAGGAAGGACAUCACCCACAGAAGAAGCACCGGCUAACUCCGUGCCAGCAGCCGCGGUAAUACGGAGGGUGCGAGCGUUAAUCGGAAUUACUGGGCGGAAAGCGCGCGUAGGCGGUCUGAUAAGCCGGUUGUGAAAGCCCCGGGCUCAACCUGGGAACGGCAUCCGGAACUGUCAGGCUAGAGUGCAGGAGAGGAAGGUAGAAUUCCCGGUGUAGCGGUGAAAUGCGUAGAGAUCGGGAGGAAUACCAGUGGCGAAGGUGGCCUUCUGGACUGACACUGACGCUGAGGUGCGAAAGCGUGGGUAGCAAACAGGAUUAGAUACCCCGGUAGUC
rnacentral:rRNA from 1 species